rnacentral:rRNA from 1 species
GCAGGCCUAACACAUGCAAGUCGAGCGGUAGCACAGAGAGCUUGCUCUCGGGUGACGAGCGGCGGACGGGUGAGUAAUGUCUGGGAAACUGCCUGAUGGAGGGGGAUAACUACUGGAAACGGUAGCUAAUACCGCAUAACGUCGCAAGACCAAAGUGGGGGACCUUCGGGCCUCAUGCCAUCAGAUGUGCCCAGAUGGGAUUAGCUAGUAGGUGGGGUAACGGCUCACCUAGGCGACGAUCCCUAGCUGGUCUGAGAGGAUGACCAGCCACACUGGAACUGAGACACGGUCCAGACUCCUACGGGAGGCAGCAGUGGGGAAUAUUGCACAAUGGGCGCAAGCCUGAUGCAGCCAUGCCGCGUGUGUGAAGAAGGCCUUCGGGUUGUAAAGCACUUUCAGCGGGGAGGAAGGCGUUAAGGUUAAUAACCUUGGCGAUUGACGUUACCCGCAGAAGAAGCACCGGCUAACUCCGUGCCAGCAGCCGCGGUAAUACGGAGGGUGCAAGCGUUAAUCGGAAUUACUGGGCGUAAAGCGCACGCAGGCGGUCUGUCAAGUCGGAUGUGAAAUCCCCGGGCUCAACCUGGGAACUGCAUUCGAAACUGGCAGGCUAGAGUCUUGUAGAGGGGGGUAGAAUUCCAGGUGUAGCGGUGAAAUGCGUAGAGAUCUGGAGGAAUACCGGUGGCGAAGGCGGCCCCCUGGACAAAGACUGACGCUCAGGUGCGAAAGCGUGGGGAGCAAACAGGAUUAGAUACCCUGGUAGUCCACGCCGUAAACGAUGUCGAUUUGGAGGUUGUGCCCUUGAGGCGUGGCUUCCGGAGCUAACGCGUUAAAUCGACCGCCUGGGGAGUACGGCCGCAAGGUUAAAACUCAAAUGAAUUGACGGGGGCCCGCACAAGCGGUGGAGCAUGUGGUUUAAUUCGAUGCAACGCGAAGAACCUUACCUGGUCUUGACAUCCACAGAACUUUCCAGAGAUGGAUUGGUGCCUUCGGGAACUGUGAGACAGGUGCU